CAAUAGCGUAUAUUAAAGUUGUUGCGGUUAAAAAGCUCGUAGUUGGAUUUCUGCCGAGGACGACCGGUCCGCCCUCUGGGUGAGUAUCUGGCUCGGCCUGGGCAUCUUCUUGGAGAACGUAUCUGCACUUGACUGUGUGGUGCGGUAUCCAGGACUUUUACUUUGAGGAAAUUAGAGUGUUUCAAGCAGGCCCACGCCUUGAAUACAUUAGCAUGGAAUAAUAAGAUAGGACCUCGGUUCUAUUUUGUUGGUUUCUAGAGCUGAGGUAAUGAUUAAUAGGGAUAGUUGGGGGCAUUCGUAUUUAACUGUCAGAGGUGAAAUUCUUGGAUUUGUUGAAGACGGACUACUGCGAAAGCAUCUGCCAAAGAUGUUCUCAUUGAUCAAGAACGAAAGUUAGGUGAUCGAAGAUGAUUAGAUACCGU
rnacentral:rRNA from 1 species